rnacentral:rRNA from 1 species
GAAUAUUGGACAAUGGGCGAAAGCCUGAUCCAGCAAUGCCGCGUGUGUGAAGAAGGCCUGCGGGUUGUAAAGCACUUUUGGCAGGGAAGAAAAGCACGGGACUAAUAACCCCGUGUAUUGACGUCACCUGCAGAAAAAGCACCGGCUAACUCUGUGCCAGCCGCCGCGGUAAUACAGAGGGUGCAAGCGUUAAUCGGAAUUACUGGGCGUAAAGCGCGCGUAGGCGGUCGGGUCAGUCGAUUGUGAAAUCCCCGGGCUUAACCUGGGAAUUGCAGUCGAUACUGCCCGGCUAGAGUGUGGAAGAGGGAAGCGGAAUUUCCGGUGUAGCGGUGAAAUGCGUAGAUAACGGAAGGAACACCAGUGGCGAAGGCGGCUUCCUGGUCCAACACUGACGCUGAGGCGCGAAAGCGUGGGUAGCGAACAGG